AGUGAACGCUGGCGGUAGGCCUAGCACAUGCAAGUCGAACGGCAGCACAGUAAGAGCUUGCUCUUACGGGUGGCGAGUGGCGGACGGGUGAGGAAUACAUCGGAAUCUACUUUUUCGUGGGGGAUAACGUAGGGAAACUUACGCUAAUACCGCAUACGACCUACGGGUGAAAGCAGGGGAUCUUCGGACCUUGCGCGAUUGAAUGAGCCGAUGUCGGAUUAGCUAGUUGGCGGGGUAAAGGCCCACCAAGGCGACGAUCCGUAGCUGGUCUGAGAGGAUGAUCAGCCACACUGGAACUGAGACACGGUCCAGACUCCUACGGGAGGCAGCAGUGGGGAAUAUUGGACAAUGGGCGCAAGCCUGAUCCAGCCAUACCGCGUGGGUGAAGAAGGCCUUCGGGUUGUAAAGCCCUUUGUUGGGAAAGAAAAGCAGCAGGUUAAUACCCCGCUGUUCUGACGGUACCCAAAGAAUAAGCACCGGCUAACUUCGUG
rnacentral:rRNA from 1 species